GCCACGAUGAAGAACGCAGCGAAAUGCGAUACGUGAUGUGAAUUGCAGAACUCCGUGAAUCAUUGAAUCUUUGAACGCAACUUGCGCCCGGGGCUUGUCCGAGGGCAUGUCUGACUGAGCGUCUA
rnacentral:rRNA from 1 species